rnacentral:lncRNA from 1 species
GCCAAAAUAUUGCGUAUGGAUGGAAGAAAAACACGCGGAGGUAAACGAUGUGCAAUAGAGGCCGUUGAAUUAGUAACUUAAUGUGGCUGACGGCCUGUGGCAGUUUUGUUUGGUAUCCAUCGUUGGCUCUCAAACAAUCCCAAGAGCAGCUCCGUCAAAACGACCUCUUGUCGUCUCCGUUCGCCGAGUUCGGCAGCGGAUGCUGAUUGACAUCGGCGUGUACCGUGUGCACGCACAUGAUCCAAAGCGAGCAGGCUGCAACGGAAAACUGCCGGUCCUGUUCUGUUCUUC